rnacentral:lncRNA from 10 species
UUCGUGAAUGAGUGAAUCAGCUGAGGGAUAUUUAUGACUUUGGCUUGUGUCUCGGCUAUUGAGAGUGACUAUGUGUGAGUGAAGAAGUGGGAGCAGGGGCAGCCACAUGGGUCCAGCUCUGCAGCUGACCCACCAGCCAAUGCCAGAGGAGGGGACAGGAGGAGAGAGGAGGAGCAGAGUGGGUUGGACCAGGUCGACCCAGAAGUCUCAAAAGGCUGGAAAAUUUCAGGGCGUUUGUCAUCCCAGGGCCGCCUAGUGGGCAGGGAAGUCUUCCACUCUGUGAUCUCGGUCUCACUCAUACCGGAGCCUGCAGCGGCCCUGUUGCGGUCUCAGUCUUCAGCCCGACAUCAUGGGGGCGCCAAAGCACAGGGGCUCAAAAUGUGGACUCAGAUUAGCACGCAAACAGUGAGAUGCUCGGCUUGAGUCUACGCGCGGGCGAAGAUGCCUCUGUCGCCUCAAACAGUGUCCUUCGCGACGGCGGAAAACUACAGCCCGCCCCCGCUCCCGUGCCUGCUCAGGAAGCCGUGACCAAGCCAGUGCCCGCCGGUGCCCGGAGUGAAGGGAGGGAAGAAGUUCUUGGCCUCCAGACCUGGGAGAGGAGUUUCCGAAAGUCAGGGCCUCGCCUCGCUGUGACAUUAGACCCUUGCCACCCACCAGACCGAUGGACACUAAACACUUUCCUUGUCGGAAGGCGCUAGUAGUUGCAGCGGCCAGGCUUGGCAGGGCCCUGGUCGACCACCCCACCACUGCCCUGGCCGGACUUUCCCAGGGCGUUGGUCUCCUGGUCCCUAUUAAGUCGGGGCUGUCCUGGGCUUGGAGCCCAGGUUCAGGGCUGUCAGCCCCUUGCCAGCUGUCUGAGCUCUCUGCCUUUCUAGUUUAUUUUCCCCCAGCUCUUGCCCUGGGUUAGCUCUCUCCCAGCCCUCCACUCUGUCUCUGUCUCCGACUCCAUCUCUGGCAGGGCUGCCACUGUCUCUCUGUCUCUCUGUCUCUCCCUGUCUCUCUGUCUCUGUCUCUCUUGUUUGUUUCAAGGCGCGGACACUGAUUGUGCCUUAUGAAGUUCUAACUGGUUUUGUGUCAGGAAGAUCUUUCUCGCCGCUACCCAGCCUGGCGUGACGGAUUAAACAUCAACUAGUUAAAUAAAAAUUAAUAUCAACUGCCUCCUAACUUCUAAUGUCAUGUUGUUUAUAACUAAUGAACUGAUUAGGGGAUAAACAUAUCACGAAGACAUUCCACUCUCCUGCCUCGGCUCCGCUGCCGCCUGGUACCCACUCCCCAGCAUGGCCUGCGGGUUGCCAGGCCAGAAGGAGUUGGGGGAGGGGGUUGCUGGAGGCGGAACAGGCUGGAGGGCCUGAGGGCUCCCUGGGGCUUGCUCCUCUUCCUGCCUUGAUCUCUUUACUCCCUUUCUCUCUUGUCUUUCCUUCUCAUUUCCUUCCUCUGUACAUUUCCUCUUCUCAGUCUCUCUUGUUCCCUUCUUUCCUUAUUUCUGUCUCCCUCUCUCCUUUUUUCCUCCUUUCCUCCCAUCCAUUCCUGUCCUCCUCUGCCCUGUGCUUCUCCGCCUCUGUCUCUGGUAGUGUUUCUCUCUCUCUGCCAGUCUGGGCCCUGAACCCUUCCCUCUCUGGUUCUCCUCUCUUCCUCCCUCUAUUGGAGUUUCUGCCUCUCUCUUCCCCCUUGUUCCCCAUCAUUCGGAUUCAUUCCUCCCUAGCCAGUGCAAAGCAUAAUGAUGACCAGUCCUUGUGACUAGGCCUCUGCCCUGCUACAAAGCAGGAGGCUGCAACCUCUCCCUCAGCACCUUGGUGGAGACUGAUGCUCCUCCCUGCUCCCCAGCUAUUUAGGGGAGAAGGGAAGGAACUAGAAGACGUGAGGGUCCUGUUUUUUAUUUCUCCUCUAUUUGAUCUGGAACAGGAGUGAGGAAAUAAAAAAUGAUUUUUUGAAAACUUUUGCUUUUCAUCUUGUCCCAGA